AGGACGAACGCUGGCGGCGUGCCUAACACAUGCAAGUCGAACGGACGAGGGGAGCUUGCUCCCCAAGUUAGUGGCGGACGGGUGAGUAACACGUGAGCAACCUGCCCUUCGGAGGGGACAACAGCCGGAAACGGCUGCUAAUACCGCAUGACAUAUCCUUGAGGCAUCUCGGGGAUAUCAAAGAUUUAUCGCCGAAGGAUGGGCUCGCGUCUGAUUAGCUGGUUGGUGAGGUAACGGCUCACCAAGGCGACGAUCAGUAGCCGGACUGAGAGGUUGAACGGCCACAUUGGGACUGAGAUACGGCCCAGACUCCUACGGGAGGCAGCAGUGGGGAAUAUUGGGCAAAUGGGGGCAACCCUGACCCAGCAACGCCGCGUGAAGGAAGAAGGCUUUCGGGUUGUAAACUUCUUUGACGAGGGACGAUAAUGACGGUACCUCGAAAACAAGCCACGGCUAACUACGUGCCAGCCGCGGC
rnacentral:rRNA from 1 species